GAUGAACGCUGGCGGCGUGCCUAAUACAUGCAAGUCGAGCGAACGGACGAGAAGCUUGCUUCUCUGAUGUUAGCGGCGGACGGGUGAGUAACACGUGGAUAACCUACCUAUAAGACUGGGAUAACUUCGGGAAACCGGAGCUAAUACCGGAUAAUAUUUUGAACCACAUGGUUCAAAAGUGAAAGACGGUCUUGAUAUCACUUAUAGAUGGAUCCGCGCUGCAUUAGCUAGUUGGUAAGGUAACGGCUUAACAAGGCAACGAUGCAUAGCCGACCUGAGAGGGUGAUCGGCCACACUGGAACUGAGACACGGUCCAGACUCCUACGGGAGGCAGCAGUAGGGAAUCUUCCGCAAUGUGCGAAAGCCUGACGGAGCAACGCCGCGUGAGUGAUGAAGGUCUUCGGAUCGUAAAACUCUGUUAUUAGGGAAGAACAUAUGUGUAAUUAACUGUGCACAUCUUGACGGUACCUAAUCAGAAAUCCACGGCUAACUACGUG
rnacentral:rRNA from 1 species